CCCCACCCCACCCCACCCCACUUGUAUGGCUACUACUAGUAGACACACAACACAAAACAGAGAGCGCCAUGCUUCUCCUUCCUCCUCUGCAAACGAGCGGCACUUCGAGUCGAGGCUUGCCGGUUCCUAUUUUGUCUGUGGAGAGGAACGAGUUUUACCUCUUGCUACUUUUUUUAUUUAUCUGUUCUUAUUAAUGGUGUUGUUCUUGUAUGUAUCUUCAGGCAACGCAUCCGAUUGUCUCCGUUCUACAAGAUACCCGAGGCCUCUCAUGAAAAUAAACUAAUAUAAGAGCGUUAGUGAUCUAAACGCUCUUAUAUUAAUUUACGGAGGGAGUAUGUAUCUUGAGGCAAGGCAUCCGGCUCUUUGCGUUCUAAGCGCGGGAUUAACUUGAUUACCCUGGGAUGGAAGCCUGCUACCCGAGGGAUCUCUUUCCCUGCCUGGAGCCGGCUGUGGCCCAUCUACAAGAUAGUACCACCUCGCUUCCCUGGAUCAAUCGGCGCCUCACCUCGACUAUAUAUACGCCGCAUCACUCGUUCCCCUUCCACACCAGUCGACCGAAUCCGUGGGGCUCACCAGAAGACGCGGGCUCAGCAGACCGCCAUCCCCAGCCGACCCUCUCCCGAGUCGACGCCCAAGGUCAGGAUCCAUUUCUUCUCCCCGGAGUCGACGCCCAAGGUCACGAACCAUUUCUUACUCCUAGGACGCUCCUCCCCCCCUUCCCCGAGUCGACGCCCAAGGUGCGAUGGCCUCCAAGCCUGAGAUCCCCUGGACAGUUGUGGCUGAGUGGAAGUAUGCCAGGGUUCGCAAGCAGCUGGCCAAUGGCUCUGCCAGCGACGAGUCUGAUGAUCUAGAGAAAGAGCAUGGACUGACAGGAAUUAAGGGAAGUGUUUCGUAUCGCCAGCCGUAUGUUCUAUAUGUUGAUGGUAAGCCAUGUCAAUAGCAACUGUCCCUUCAGAUUUGAUUCAACUUGGCACUGAAUCAUUGAUAGUAUUUUCUACUCUUUAAACUUAGUUGAAAUCAUAUACUGUUCAUCAAAUGGCGUAUAUUCUAAUUUUAAUUAUUAUUUAACAGAAAUAGGUUUAAUGGAAAUGCUUUGGAAUUAUUGGCACCAUUAUAGAUCAGAGCACUUGUUUACUUGCAAUGCCAUAUGCCAACCUGCUGACAUAUGAGCAUGCAUUUUUUUGUCCUGUGAUUUCUUGAAUACCAUAUACAGAUUCUGUCUUGUUGGUGUAUGUUACUCACAUGCCAAACUUUGAAUUCUUUAAGUGUUUGAUUUGCUUGUAGUUUCAACUGUUACUUUUGUGUUCUUGCAGGCGGAAUAUCUAGUGUUUAGAGUCUGAUCUUGUGUAAUAUCUAGGUUCUUAUCAGUGUAAAUUCUCUAGUGUUUAGAGUCUGAUCUUUUGUAAUAUCUAGGUUCUUAUCAGUGUAAAUUCUUUUGUUUCUUGCAGUUUAACUUCUAUAAAUAUUCUAGGUGUAAUAUCUAGUUACAAGAACUGUACUUUUAAGGUUCUUUUCAGUGUACUAUUCUAGUUGUAAAAAUGUAAUAUCUUGGUUCUUACAAAAUAAUAUUUUUCCUUCUCUUUUGAAUAAAAGCCCAGAUUCAUGCUGUUUCA